UACGUAGGGGGCAAGCGUUGUCCGGAUUUAUUGGGCGUAAAGAGCUCGUAGGUGGUUUGGUAAGUCGGAUGUGAAAUCUCCAGGCUCAACCUGGAGGGGUCAUUCGAUACUGCCAUGACUAGAGGUCGGUAGGGGAGUGUGGAAUUCCUGGUGGAGCGGUGAAAUGCGCAGAUAUCAGGAGGAACACCGGUGGCGAAGGCGGCACUCUGGGCCGGUACUGACGCUGAGGAGCGAAAGCGUGGGGAGCGAACAGG
rnacentral:rRNA from 1 species